rnacentral:ncRNA from 1 species
GUGUUGUUUGAGAGAAUAGAAGGUUAACUUCCCCUUGAUGGUUGGAAGAAACCAUCAGGCCUGACAAAUAAGACAUUGUCACCUACUUUGUGACAUCUAACUAUGGUU